rnacentral:lncRNA from 1 species
ACACUUCCACUUCCAGACUCCUGUACUGGACUACAUUUAGACUUUAGAAAGAGAAACCCUAAGUCCUAACAUCUAAAAUUCUUAGCAACAACAAUUCACAACACAACAACCAACCUCUCGCCUCUUCCUCUCGACUCUCGAGUCUCGCCGACUGCCUGACUCGCCGUCUCGGCUCUUCCUCUCGUCGUCUCGCCUCUCCCUCUCGCCAUAGCCAGAGCCUAGAGCAGCAGAUGGUAAGUUUCUUUUCUUGUUGAUGUCUUCAGAAUAUUCGGUCCUCACUGUUGUUUACACCUUUAAAUUCAGAGAGCAUCUCAAAGUAUUCAGCCAUUUCACGGAUCUCCAAUCACUGAGAUUUAUUCUGAAAUUGACAUUCCAAUUGUUGCCUUCUCUACCUUGUGUUGUUUUGAGAUCGAUGUUUGACAGUUUCUCUACCUUGUGUUGUGGAUUUUGGCAAAAAAGUUCCACUCUAGGUACUUAUUUCCAAUUUCUUUGAAGUGUUGAAAUAUCUUAGUAACGACGAAAUUCCAGCUUUACUCAUGGACUUAAAUCUUCUGUAGAUAUCAUCAAAGGCAUUUGGAGUACAUCGGUCUUUAUAUUAAAUAUCCAUUAGUAUAGUUUAUAGAUGCUGGAAAUUCAAUUUGGCUUGUAGCUUUUAGCCUAUGUUUCGAGUCAUUCUAAUGAUAGAUCUUAGGAGCUAGAAAUUAGAAAUACAAUUUGUCGAACAUGAUAAUAUUAUGGAUAUGGUUAAGAAGGCGGCCAAAAAUCUGAUUUAGAAAUACUACUAGUAUUUAGGGAGAAUAGUAUCUGAUUCCUUUUAUUUUUACUUUGUUUGACAGGAUAUUUGAAGGCUAUUACUUGUAAGUAUCUUCAUAUCCGCUAAUGGAGUAUCUAGCUGCUGCUUUAUCUAUUCUUGGAUGUUGUUUCUUCUAAGUUUACCCCCUCUGUUUUUGUUUUUAUUUGGUUAUUGUUUUUGUUUUUAUUUGGUUAUUAUUCUCUUUUGUAUUUCAAUAGAGAAAUUUGGAUAGAUUAUUGAUGAGAAGUAUUGAGCCUGUUUCAAUGGUAUCAAGCUUGUUCACUGGAACGAGUUUUAUAUUGAAGAAAGGUCUCAAAGAUGCUGCUGCUGGAACUCGUGCAGAUUUGAAAUGCUAUCUCUCUGUGUUUCUUAGAUAUUUACUUCGAUUUAUUACACGAUUUACUAAUUAAAAAGGCACAAUCUAAACCGAUAACUGCCCGAUAAUAGCUAAACGGAUACCAAUCCGCCCGAUAUCUUAUCGGGUGGCUAGCAGAUUAAUACAUUUAAAAGCCGAUAACCGAUAAGCCGAACCGAUAAGAGUAAAUAACCGUCCGAUCCGCCCGAUAAGCAGCCCUAAUUACAGACUCGGAUAGAAAUUUAACUUCUUCAGGUAAGUUCCCAAAUUUGACUUCAUUCUACCUCUACAGUGUACUUCUUGUACAAUUGUUCUUGCUAUUUCUUAUGGUGUCCUCUUCUUCUGUUGGAAUAUUCUAUAAUUCCUCUCUUACCAUAAGUGAUAAGUUCUACAAGCCAAGCUCAUUCUGUAGAUUUCUGCUAGCGAGUUCUUUCCAUUAGCUUGCACUCUAAUCCAUAGGAUUUCUAUUGAUGCCGAGCCACUUCAGGAUAUACAGCCACACCUUUGCAGAUGAUCUGCAUAAAUGUUGGUGGCUCUCUUGUUCAUCUUCACACAGUGCACAAGCAGGGUCAGUCCACAUACCCCAUUUGAUGAGCCUAUCCUUGGUAUAUAGUCGCUCUUGAAUUGCCAGGAACAAUAUGAACACCCACUUAAGGCUUUCUUGGUUGUUACAUAUCAUCUUCUUCCACCUUAUUUUUGGGAGUUCUCCUCUUAGCAUAUUGUACAUUCUUCUUAUAGAGAAUUUCCAAUCCACCACAGCUUCUUCUAUCCUCACUGCUGCCCUUUCCAGAUAUCUCCUCGCAUUGAUGAUCUUUCGAAUAGUCCACGAGGCAUUUUUGGCAUCCACAUCAAUUAUAUCCCUGCCUUUUAUAUAAUAAGUAUGUACCCACUUAAUCCAUGACUUGUCAUUUUUUUAGACAAGUUCCAGUAAUGUUUCAGAAUUGCAGCUUUGUUCCAUAUUUGUAUAUCAGCGAUAUUCAUUCCCCCAGCUGUCUUAGGUAGACACAAUUGGCUCCAUGCCACCAAUGCCUUCUUUUUUACUUCUGUAUUUUCCGUCCAGAGAAAAGUCCUACAUACAGCUUCAAUCUUGUUUACGACCUUCUUAGGCAACUGGAAUAUCUGAUACCAAUAAGACUGUAUGGCUAUGAGCACACUUUUAAUUAGUUGAAACCUCCCUGCAUAUGGUAGAAAUUUAACAGUUCAAUUGGCAUUGUGCUACAACCAACCUUUUGAAACUUAGUGGCACUACAAGGUACUUAAAAGGUAAUGUACCGACAGAGAAUCCAAGUUGUUGCACUAUCUCAUGUUGUACAUGGUCAAACACUCCUCCAAAGUAUAUACUACUCUUAUUUAUGUUAGCAAUCAAUCCCGAGUCUUUGAAGAAAUGUUGAAAGUACUCGAAUAGUAGUUUAGUUGAUACCACAUCUCCUCUGCAAAACAUGAGGAGGUCAUUAGCAAAUCCAAGUUGUAUUAUGCCCAAACUCUCACAUCUAGGGUGAUAAUUGAAAUCUAGAUUCCCCUUUAGUGUUCUGAGUAGUCUAGUAAGAUACUCCAUGGCAAGUACAAACAAAUAAGGGGAUAACGGAUUACCCUGCAUGAGCCCUUUCUUGCCUCAAAUGGUGGUGUUGGAUUUCCAUUUAUAACAAUUGAGUAGGAAACAAUUCUGAAGCAGCUUCUAAUCAAUGUGAUGAACCUUUAUGGGAAGUUCAUAUUUGACAGUAUCUGCUCCAAACAAAAAACAGUUCUAGUGAAUCAUAGGCCUUUUGCAUGUCCAUUUUGAUCAUAAUCCUUGGUGACACUCAUUUUCUACCAUAUCCUUUGAUGAUUUCAUUGCUUAACACCACAUUAUCAUGAAUGACUCUUCCAGGAACAAAUGUAUUUUGACUGCAAUCUACUAAUGGAUCCAUGACCUGUUGCAAUCUGUUGGUGAUCAUUUUGGAAAUGAUUUUGUACAAUGUUGUGUUGCAAGAUAUAGGUCUAUACUCCUUGAUGGUGGCAGGGUGUUUUACUUUUGGUAUCAAAGUAACUGAAGUGCAAUUUAUAGGUCUAUACAUAUCAGUUGUCUCGAAGAAUCUAAGCACUUCAUUUGUUACCUCAUCUCCCAGUAUGUGCCAAGUUUUCAAGAAGAAUAGUUAGUUAAAUCCAUCACACCCUGGGGCUUUCAAUGUGUCUAUCCCUUCCAAUGCUUGAAACACUUCAUCCUUUGUGAAUGGCCUGAUUAAUUGAAGUUGCUGAGCUCAUUUCAAAUUUGGCCCUUCCUUCAUGAUGUUAGGAUUGAUGGCAGGUAAAUUGUUCUGGCUUGAGCCUAGUAGGCUUUUGUAAAAGCCAAUAAUCUUUUCUCGUAUAUCCUCUGGCCUUUGUAAUAACCUCCAUGUUGUGGAUGUAAGCUGCGUGAUAUAAUUUUGUGCUCUUCUCCCUUUCAUGUUAGCAUAGAAGUAAGCUGAAUUAGAGUCACCUAACUUGAGCCAUUGAACCCUAGAUUUUUGCAUGUAGAUGCUCUCCUCCAUUAUGCUCCACUUUUCAAGUUGCUUCUUUAGCUCCUUCUCUUCUUCAAACUAUUCUGUGUUAUGGCUUAUGUCCCUCAUUUGUGCUUGUAAUUCCUUCAGCUUAUCCCUUAUGUUUUGAAUUUUAGUCUCCACUCUUAUAAACUCCUUGUUGUUUAAUCUCUUCAGGGCUCCUUUAACAUUAUUCAGUUUUAACCAUACAUUCAUCAUGCCUUGUGCCGGCCUAUGGAUUGACCAACUGCUCUUAACUAUCUCUGCAAACUCAUCAUGAUUUGCCAAGCAAUUUAGAAAUCUAAAAGGCUUCUUUCUAAUGAUGUUUUCCUCUCCGUCUCAAUGCAUAAAGGAGAGUGAUAUGAGAAGUAUGGGUCUUUGAUAUGAACUAGUAAAGGAGGCAUAGUAUUCAUCCACUGUGCAUUCAUUAGUGCUCUGUCUAUUCUGCUAUAUACAUGGUUGUUCGUCCAUGUAAAUGUUCUCCCAAUUGUUUGAAGUUCAGUAACCCCAACACUCCUCUAUGAAUCUUCUGAAGUCCCUAGUUUCAUAUUCAUGUACCUCAUUUCCAUGUGAUAUAUCCGCCACAUCUAGAACUGAUUUAAAGUCCCCCAUUAUCAACUAUGGAUGCUCCUUUAUUUCUCUCAGCUUCCUCCAUAACUCCUUCAUUGUUGGAACAGUAUGCAAGUCAUACACCGCUGAAAAGUGAAUAAUAGUGUUGUUGUGUCUUGACUGAAUAAUCCCAUGAAUGAGUCAAUAGGGUCCCAUACUAUUCAUAUACGAUCUCUAGUUGUAGUAGAUCCAUUAGUACACCAUUCCCAGCCAUAAGCUAUUUUAUUUACAAUCUUUGCAAUCUUAUUGCUACUAACACUGUUUUAAAAGGCGUUUCUGGGGCGAAAGUCUCAAGAGGCAUACGCCCUGCAAUUUGGGGCGUUACGCCCGGGCGUUCGGGGCGUACGCCCAGAGACUUUUUCAAAUUAAAACAAAAUUUGUUGAAUUAGUCCUUUAUAUAACACCCAAAUUCUCAAAAGUCAGUUUGGUAAUUACUCAAAAGGUUUAAAAAGGAACUCAAAAGUAUUAAAUUUAAAAGUGAAGACCCUUUUUAUUGAUUUAAGCUCUAAUUCAUGAUUUUUUCAAUUUUUUAUCUUUUCCGCUAGUCUGCUAAUAUCUCCCAAAAGCAACGAAUAUACUUUAUUUUCCUUCAAAAAUUCCUUCAGCUCCUUUUGCUUAUAUACUUUAUUUAUCCCCCUGACAUUCCAUGUGACAAUCUUCAUUUGGAAUAUUGAGAUGAUGGAGUAGUUCUUUUGCAAUUUAUGGUAGUUUUGAUUUGUAAGUAAUUUGAUAUGUAAUGAUAUGUGGUUUAGUCAUUUUACAAAACUGAAGUUUGCUAUUUCGCUAUCACUAUGUUCAUCAAGGAGAAGUAAUAAUAUAUGGUACGUUUUCUUUGUUUCUACAGAUUUUGACUGCGAUGACUAUGUCCAGGUAUUUAAAAAAAAUCACAAUUGAAUAUAUCAGACUUCUUUCCUUCAUUCUUUUCACCAACUUAUGUUAAACUGUCCAAAAACCCUCUAUAAAAUUUUUCGAGUCUCAUCCAAUUCCUCCCUGCUUGAAAUUCAGGUAGUAGGAAAAUUUAAUUCGAGGGCGUUUAGUGCUGUAUGGAAAGCAAGGUUGAAAGAGCUCUAAUUUUAUGGAGAAAUUGCAAAGGGUCAGAAUCGAACAGUGAAGCAGAAGUUGGAGUAUUAUACUCAGAAUCUCUUUGUGUUGUUCUUCGGUUCUAAGCAGUCGGUAAUGAUGAUACAGUCAAAUCUCUCUAUAACAGCCUUGUUCCGAAAUUUUUUGACUGCUAUAGUGAAGAAACUUUUUGACUUCUCUAUGACAAUCUUGUUCCGAAUUUUUUUGACUGCUAUAGUGAAGUAGUGAUGUUAUAGAGGACAUAUUAUAACAUAAUAUAAUAUUUGAUUCCGAGAAAACUGUUAUAAAAAAGUCUGACUGUAUA